GCGGCAGGUCCGGCUUCAGCCGCUGCCCAGUGCUGGGGCGGUCUUGUGGCUCAGGUUUCUGGCCGCUGCCAGCAUUUCCCAAUCCCCCGUCCUCCCUGUGCUGCCCUGCUUUAAAUCCCUGUAGCGGGGACGUAUGGAGGAGAUCGUGUCUCCUCUCUGGUGCUCACGGCUCCAUCCUGCUCUCCCAGUGGCUGCAGAGCGGCCGUGGCUCCCGGGCCGGCUCCUGGCACGUGCGCCGUGCCUGUAGCGAGGACGGGGCUGGCAGCUCACGGCUGUUUCUUUCUCACAGGCACGGACGGCGGGAUUGGCAGCUCAGCCACAGGGCUCACCAUCUAACUGCUCCACGCGGGGCCAGCACGUGGUUGGAUUCGGCCCCCUGCUCUAUCGCCGGCUGGACGCAGAGAGGUGCUGGAGGAGGCUGAGAGCUGCCUGCAGAGAGAGCUUGUCACGCUGCACUUGCCCACCCUUGGCUGUGGUGGCGGCUCUUCUGGGAGGGUGAACAUCCUAUUUUCUGAUACUUGGAGAGCUGCAAUUAUUACCGAUGUUCUUUAAUUUUGAGGUUGAAAUUGAUUUCUUCCACAUGCGUACAUUUCUUGGCGUGCACAAUAAAUGCUGGUCCCCA